GAUGAACGCUGGCGGCGUGCCUAAUACAUGCAAGUCGAGCGAACAGACGAGGAGCUUUCUCCUCUGACUUUAUCGGCGGACGGGUGAGUAACACGUGGAUAACCUACCUAUAAGACUUUGAUACCUUCGGGAAACCGGAUCUACUACCGGAUAAUAUAUUGAACCUCAUUGUUCAAUAGUGAAAGACGGUUUUGCUGUCACUUAUAGAUUGAUCCGCGCCGCAUUAGCUAGUUGGUAAGGUAACUGCUUAACAAGGCAACGAUGCGUAGCCGACCUGAGAGGGUGAUCGGCCACACGGGAACUGAGAAACGGUACAGACUCCGAGGGGAGGAAGCAGUAGGGAAUCUUCCGGAAUGGGGGAGAGCCGGACGGAGCAAAGCCGCGGGAGUGAUGAAGGUCUUAGGAUCGGAAAACGCUGUUAGUAGGGAAGAACAAAUGUGUAAGUAACUAUGAACGUCUUGACGGUACCGAAUCAGAAAGCCACGGCUAACUCCGUG
rnacentral:rRNA from 1 species